UACGGGGGGGGGCAAGCGUUGUUCGGAAUUACUGGGCGUAAAGGGCGCGUAGGCGGCCUGUUAAGUCGAACGUGAAAUCCCCGGGCUCAACCCGGGAACUGCGUCCGAUACUGGCAGGCUUGAAUUCGGGAGAGGGAUGCGGAAUUCCAGGUGUAGUGGUGAAAUGCGUAGAUAUCAGGAGGAACACCGGUGGCGAAGGCGGCCACCUGGACGGUCACUGACGCUGAGACGCGAAAGCGUGGGGGAGCAAACAGG
rnacentral:rRNA from 1 species